rnacentral:rRNA from 1 species
UACGUAGGGGGCAAGCGUUGUCCGGAAUCAUUGGGCGUAAAGAGCGUGUAGGCGGCUCGGUAAGUCCGCUCUGAAAGCCCGGGGCUCAACCCCGGGAGGCGGGCGGAUACUGUCGGGCUAGAGUCCGGAAGAGGCGAGUGGAAUUCCUGGUGUAGCGGUGAAAUGCGCAGAUAUCAGGAGGAACACCAGUGGCGAAGGCGACUUACUGGACACAUAUUGACGCUGAGGUGCGAAAGCGUGGGGAGCAAACAGG